rnacentral:lncRNA from 1 species
UAAAGCACAUGAUGGCCUAUACUUCCUUUGCUCAGAUUGCUUGCAACAGAACAAUUCUAGUCAUCCAAAACAACAACAUGUUUCUUGUAUUUCCUUUUCUAGCUCUAAAAUACAGUACAAGUGUAUUUCUUCUUCCUGUCCUUCUUAUUCUGCUGUAAUGAAUUCCAUGUCUAUCAAUAAUAAAGACAAUGUUGUUGAUAAAACUUCUAGUUCUUUUCCUGUUAAUAACACAGACCUGUUAUGGCACUAUAGAUUAGGACAUGUUCCCUUUGUAAAAAUGAAAGGCAUAUC